rnacentral:rRNA from 1 species
UACGUAGGGUGCAAGCGUUAAUCGGAAUUACUGGGCGUAAAGCGUGCGCAGGCGGUUUGAUAAGCCAGAUGUGAAAUCCCCGAGCACAACUUGGGAACUGCGUUUGGAACUGUCAGACUAGAGUGCGUCAGAGGGGGUGGAAUUCCGCGUGUAGCAGUGAAAUGCGUAGAGAUGCGGAGGAACACCGAUGGCGAAGGCAGCCCCCUGGGAUGACACUGACGCUCAUGCACGAAAGCGUGGGGAGCAAACAGG